GUCCAGUUGACGAGUUCCAAAUAGGACGAAACGCAUGUCCUACAU
rnacentral:hammerhead_ribozyme from 1 species